UAUAUACAUUUUUAAAUAUGUACCAGCUUUAGUAAAUAAAACAAUUUAUGUAAGUUUCAAUAGUGAGCUUUUGGACAAAACGACGAAAGAUAAUAGCUGAUGUUGAAUAUUGCCUAAAAGAUCUUACCAUUAAAUCAAGCAAUAUUUCACAUUCACCAGAAGAAGUACAAUCAUUGUAUUUAAAAAGUAUAUCAGAUCGAAAACUUUCAACUGAGAGUGCUGUUCCCUAAAAUAAUAGCUGUGGCAAGUAAAGGAAGCCAGACUUUAAAGGAGGCUGUCCAGAGAAUGUCCUUUGCGUUAUUCACUAAUAACCUCUGCUGUAAACUUAACUGGUCUGGUAUUACCAUAAAUGACAAUGAAAGUAACUUUGUAAAACAAAGACUUACACUUGCUUAAAAGAGCUGUAAAAAGAAAUCCUGGAACAACUUCAGCAACUGAAUCAGAUUUUCAAUAUGAGGUUGUGCGUUUUUUGCGUGGUGCAUCAGAUCGCAAUGGCAGAAAAAAAGUUAGACAGGAC